rnacentral:rRNA from 1 species
ACGGAAGGCAGCAGUGGGGAAUAUUGGACAAUGGGGGAGACCCUGAUCCAGCGACGCCGCGUGAGUGAAGAAGUAUUUCGGUAUGUAAAGCUCUAUCAGCAAGGAAGAAAAUGACGGUACUUGACUAAGAAGCUCCGGCUAAAUACGUGCCAGCAGCUGCGGUAAUACGUAUGGAGCAAGCGUUAUCCGGAUUUACUGGGUGUAAAGGGAGCGUAGACGGCAAAGCAAGUCUGAAGUGAAAACCCAGGGCUCAACCCUGGGACUGCAUUGGAAACUGUCAAACUAGAGUGCAGGAGAGGUAAGUGGAAUUCCUAGUGUAGCGGUGAAAUGCGUAGAUAUUAGGAGGAACACCAGUGGCGAAGGCGGCUUACUGGGCUGUAACUGACGUUGAGGCUCGAAAGCGUGGGGAGCAAACAGGAUUAGAUACCCUGGUA